rnacentral:rRNA from 1 species
CAGGACGAACGCUGGCGGCGUGCUUAACACAUGCAAGUCGAACGAUGAAGCCCUUCGGGGUGGAUUAGUGGCGAACGGGUGAGUAACACGUGGGCAAUCUGCCCUUCACUCUGGGACAAGCCCUGGAAACGGGGUCUAAUACCGGAUAACACUUACCUCCUCCUGGGGGUGGGUUAAAAGCUCCGGCGGUGAAGGAUGAGCCCGCGGCCUAUCAGCUUGUUGGUGGGGUAAUGGCCUACCAAGGCGACGACGGGUAGCCGGCCUGAGAGGGCGACCGGCCACACUGGGACUGAGACACGGCCCAGACUCCUACGGGAGGCAGCAGUGGGGAAUAUUGCACAAUGGGCGAAAGCCUGAUGCAGCGACGCCGCGUGAGGGAUGACGGCCUUCGGGUUGUAAACCUCUUUCAGCAGGGAAGAAGCGCAAGUGACGGUACCUGCAGAAGAAGCACCGGCUAACUACGUGCCAGCAGCCGCGGUAAUACGUAGGGUGCGAGCGUUGUCCGGAAUUAUUGGGCGUAAAGAGCUCGUAGGCGGUCUGUCACGUCGGAUGUGAAAGCCCGGGGCUUAACCCCGGGUCUGCAUUCGAUACGGGCAGACUAGAGUGUGGUAGGGGAGAUCGGAAUUCCUGGUGUAGCGGUGAAAUGCGCAGAUAUCAGGAGGAACACCGGUGGCGAAGGCGGAUCUCUGGGCCAUUACUGACGCUGAGGAGCGAAAGCGUGGGGAGCGAACAGGAUUAGAUACCCUGGUAGUCCACGCCGUAAACGUUGGGAACUAGGUGUUGGCGACAUUCCACGUCGUCGGUGCCGCAGCUAACGCAUUAAGU